UCUUACAUGUUGUAGCUAAGACCCAACACAAACAAAUAAAUGAGUAAAUAUUAAAAAAAAAUAAAAUAGAAAUGAAUAUUGGAAGGCAAAUAUCAUGACCGCUACAGUUUCCCAAGUAAAAUCAGGGCAGAAGAAAGACUAGUGUUCAGCAGGUAAACAUAUAGACUAAACAGCAAUGAUAUAGCUACUGUUACCAAAUCACCUAUGUUUCUGAUGAUAUAGGAGCCAUAUGUGUCUAUUUCAAAGUCUCAACUAAGAAGACAGAGUAUGUUCCCUGAGUCUGGACUCAACCCUCUGAUAACUUGGAUGUGGGCUAACAUCAGUUCAACUCCCUCUCAGGGUCAGGAUGACGACUGAAAGAGUGUGAGAAGCAGGGCCUUGGCCUCUAUCUGAGUCUGAAGUGUCUUUCACAAAAUAUCCAGAUGGUACUCCUGCUCCUUGGCAUUUGAAGCAUCUCUUUUAAACUUCAGCCACAGAAUACAGCCAGGAAGAUGGGAGGAAAAUCACCAGAUGGGGACACAGCAUGGAUAUGAGCAGAGCUCUGUGCCCUUAGCAGCUACCUAGACAACCAGGCAGGCAGAAAAAUGGCCCUGUGAGGAUGUCCACACCUAAUUCCUGGAAUCUACUCUCCCUGACACAGAUAAAAAGUUUUUAUUAGUGUAAUUAAGUUUGUGUUGUGCUUAGUCACCUCUGA